rnacentral:rRNA from 1 species
GUGGGGAAUCUUGCGCAAUGGGCGAAAGCCUGACGCAGCAACGCCGCGUGCGGGAUGAAGGCCUUCGGGUUGUAAACCGCUUUCAGCAGGGACGAAAAUGACGGUACCUGCAGAAGAAGCUCCGGCUAACUACGUGCCAGCAGCCGCGGUAAUACGUAGGGAGCAAGCGUUGUCCGGAUUUAUUGGGCGUAAAGAGCUCGUAGGCGGUUUCGUAAAUCGAGUGUGAAAAAUCUGGGCUUAACCCAGUGGAGCACUCGAUACUGCGAUGACUUGAGUCUGGUAGAGGAGUGUGGAAUUCCUGGUGUAGCGGUGAAAUGCGCAGAUAUCAGGAGGAACACCAACGGCGAAGGCAGCACUCUGGGCCAGUACUGACGCUGAGGAGCGAAAGCGUGGGGAGCAAACAGGAUUAGAAACCCUAGUAGUCC